rnacentral:rRNA from 1 species
GUGUCCUCCGCCUCUUUAAGACGUAUUUUGCGCGCGUUAAUCGGAAUUACUGGGCGUAAAGCGUGCGCAGGCGGUUAUGUAAGACAGAUGUGAAAUCCCCGGGCUCAACCUGGGAACUGCAUUUGUGACUGCAUAGCUAGAGUACGGCAGAGGGGGAUGGAAUUCCGCGUGUAGCAGUGAAAUGCGUAGAUAUGCGGAGGAACACCGAUGGCGAAGGCAAUCCCCUGGGCCUGUACUGACGCUCAUGCACGAAAGCGUGGGGAGCAAACAGGAUUAGAUACCCUGGUAGUCCACGCCCUAAACGAUGUCAACUGGUUGUUGGGUCUUCACUGACUCAGUAACGAAGCUAACGCGUGAAGUUGACCGCCUGGGGAGUACGGCCGCAAGGUUGAAACUUAAAUGAAUUGGCGG